AGCAGCCGCGGUAAUUCCAGCUCCAAUAGCGUAUAUUAAAGUUGUUGCAGUUAAAAAGCUCGUAGUUGAAUUUCGAGAUCAGUACGCUGGUCGUGCCUUCGGUAUGCACUGGUGUCACUGGUUUCUCCCUUCUGAAGAACCGUCAUGUCAUUAAGUUGGUGUGGCGGGGAAUCAGGACUGUUACUUUGAAAAAAUUAGAGUGUUUAAAGCAGGCUCGCGCUUGAAUACAUUAGCAUGGAAUAAUGAAAUAGGACGUUUGACCCUAUUUUGUUGGUUUCUAGGACCGACGUAAUGAUUAAUAGGGAUAGUUGGGGGCAUUAGUAUUCAAUUGUCAGAGGUGAAAUUCUUGGAUUUAUUGAAGACUAACUACUGCGAAAGCAUUUGCCAAGGAUGUUUUCAUUAAUCAAGAACGAAAGUUAGGGGAUCGAAGACGAUCAGAUACCGUCGUAG
rnacentral:rRNA from 1 species